rnacentral:rRNA from 1 species
AUUGAACGCUGGCGGCAUGCCUUACACAUGCAAGUCGAACGGUAACAGGUUAAGCUGACGAGUGGCGAACGGGUGAGUAAUAUAUCGGAACGUGCCCGAGAGUGGGGGAUAACGGAGCGAAAGCUUUGCUAAUACCGCAUACGAUCUACGGAUGAAAGCAGGGGACCGCAAGGCCUUGCGCUCAUGGAGCGGCCGAUGGCAGAUUAGGUAGUUGGUGGGAUAAAAGCUUACCAAGCCGACGAUCUGUAGCUGGUCUGAGAGGACGACCAGCCACACUGGGACUGAGACACGGCCCAGACUCCUACGGGAGGCAGCAGUGGGGAAUUUGGACAAUGGGCGAAAGCCUGAUCCAGCCAUGCCGCGUGCAGGAUGAAGG